CAGAGAGUGGAGUCCUGGUUUCCCCAGGGGUGGGAUGGUUGUAUCUCACAAUCAGGGUGUGUGUGCACCAAAAAGUACCACGGAGGAACUGGAGCCUUGGCAAGAGCAGGAGGGUGCCCAGAGCAGCUCUGCAAGGAAAGUGAGUGCUUUCACUCCUCUGUCAUCACCAGUCCCUGAGAGCCAUCACCACCCACCAACAGUUCCUUGAGAUAAGGCUGAGCCAGCUGGGAGAAGAAAGCCUUUGAUAUCCCCUGCCUGGCUGAGUCAGAUGAGUGACACCUGGCAGCUUGUGCACUGCCACUGUGUUAACCUGUAUGCCUCUCCUUCCCUCCCUGCUCCAUGGGCACAGCACAGGAGCAGCAGGGACAGGGCCUGGGCAGAGAGAGGUGGAGUGUGGCUGUGGAGUUCCCCGAUCCUUCCAUGGAUAUUGGCGUCUGCAGCACCUGGGAUCCACUGCACAACUCCUUCCUCCAGAGGCCAAAGCUGA
rnacentral:lncRNA from 1 species